GCAGUUGGGGCGCCGAUGAAAAGAAAGGCACAAAGAAACAAAAGAGUGAAAAACGUGGAGAUGCCUGGCGCGUGUGUGGUCCUUCUGUCGGCCGUCUCUCGACAUCGUGGCUGUCAGCUGAGCGCUGGAACGGGAGAUUCUUCGAAACCGACACACUGGGGGUUUUGCCCCCUUCGAUCUGUUUUUCUGAGUUGCUGUCUUGAGAGCUCGGCGUUUUGAGAGACUUGAGGCACAGCUUCGCUUCUUGAUGGCACUCUCACUUCACGUCUACGUAAUCCUCCGGCGUGUUCAGGGACUUCCGGAACAAGCGAGAAGCAACAAAUCGUCCGAAUAACGCCUGGUCUUUCGGCCGUGUCUUUUGUUGCCUUCGCACUUGCCGCUGUCUGUGGGUGAGGCGCCUCUCUGCUGUUCCCCAAGUGUGGCACUGUUCAGCUUCAGUUCCCUAUCUGCAACGCAGGCUUCCUGGUGAACCCCGACGGUUGGUUCCCGGUCUCACUUCGCCUUCUGCGUCGAUUGCAGCCCAGCCGACCAAGCGCCCUAUCGUUUUUGCCUGUCUUCCUCACCGGUUUUCCAGAUUGCCACAGACACCGGAAAUCGUGUUUGCGUCGUGUUUUUCCGCCGGUUGUGUGGCGGUUGUUGCGCUGCGUAUCUCGUUCACAGGGGUUCGGUGCGCUUGCUGUGUUCACCCGUGGCCCUUUCUCUCCAUUGAUUUGCCUUCCGGCGACUGGGAUGAAACUCUGAUUUUUCCUGUUUGUGGUUCCUUGUCAUCCCACGAUUUCAGUUCCAGUUUGCUGCUGACUUCGCAGACCCUCGGAAACCGAGUUCCUCUGUGUCCCUUCUGCUCUCUACGAUGUCGACACGGUUUGCUUUGCUGGGGGUGUUGGCCGGCACGGUGACCGCCUAUGCCUGUUUCGAUUCUUUGAGGCUCGCGAGAGACAGAGCAGGAUUUUAUUUCCGUUCUGUCGCGGGGGCGAACUGGAGCUUCGUGCCGCAUUCUGUGGUGUACGAGCAGCACAUGUCGAUGUCGAAACUUCUCUCCUCGUGCGGAUGGAACCAAAUCCUUCUCAGCAGUUACGCGAAGGCUAUCCAUUCACUAGGCUACCGUUUCUGAUGUAAGCUGAAACUCUUCAAGGGACGGCGUGCUUUUCAUCGUCCUGUCCGCUAUUCACUGUCAUUCUUCGCUUCCCGCCCUCCUGACCUUUACUUGUAACGUUUGGAAACCAAAACAUCGUUUUUCAAAAGACCAGUCCGCCUUGCCUACCCAAGGCGCCCCAGGAUUCAACUGUUUUUACGAAUGCGUGUUAAGUGGGCAUCGCGAGUUCGACAAUCUUCUGCACGUGUGUUAAGCUUCGCGUGCCUGGGACUUCCUGGCCAAUCACCGUGACGCAUUGAGAUGGGUAAUCGCGGAUGAAAGCAAGAAUUUUACACACUGGAAGGAACGGUUUUCCGAGGUGACCGCGAUUGUACACACAUCGAACACCUUUAUGCGUGAAAUGCAUCGCUGUGUCUUCUUUCGCUUCUGGGAUCGUCAGUUACGAGUCAGGAAACGAAAAUGAGACGCGCUGUACUGGUUUCGGUGGAUUAAGUUCGCGACUGAUUUAAUCCCGCGAAUCGAGUCGCAGAUGGAGACGCUUGCUGAAGUACGGACUAUCCCAAAACACAGGACACUCCCCCUUACCCCAUGUG
rnacentral:lncRNA from 1 species